AGACGCAGUCGGGCGGCCGCGUGUCGGUGUGUUGUUCCCGGCAUGAGGAAAGUCCGAGCACGGGAGGACACGAUGGUGGGUCACGCCCACCCGCCCGAACAGACUCGCAAGAGUGCGGUCGCGGGCGAGGGAAAGUGCCACAGAAAGCAAACCGCCGAUGGUCGCGUGUUCGGCUUGCCGACGCUCGACACAGGCAAGGGUGAAAGGGUGCGGUAAGAGCGCACCGCCCGGCGGGUGACCGUCGGGGCAUGGCAAACCCCAUCGCGUGCAAGCCCAAGCAGAAUCCCGCAGUUGCCUUCGGGCGGCUGCGUCCCUGGUCCGGGGAUCGUGGGUUCGGGUAGGGUGCAGGGGAGCGUGCUCCCCCCCGCUGCCAGCAACGGCACGGGCAGAGAAAUGGUCGCCCGCAUCGGCAGGUCGAGCAAUCGAAACCACCGAGGCGACAGAACUCGGCUUACAGACUGCGUCCGGCC
rnacentral:RNase_P_RNA from 1 species